UUCUGGUUCCCACAGCCCCUGCGUGAUAAAAUUACAUCACAACGGAAACCACCCACCAAACAAGCCACGCCCGAGCAGAAACCACCACAAACAGGAGUCAGGGUCCAACUCCACUCAGAGGAUCUGACUACAGAAAAUGGCUUUGCAGCCGCAGCCUCAGGCAGCACAGCACAGGACCAGGGUCUGAUCUGGCCGAGCGUGUGGACAAGCACGUGCAGGUGGGCCCGAGUCCAGUAGACUGUGACCGUCUCCCGAAGGCGCCACGGCAGCUGGGGCCGGCUUUCACUCUAGAAACCAAGCUCCUCAGAGACAAGUGCACCGAGAACGUUCAGAGCAGCAGAGCAGAGCCCAGAGAGCCCCGGUGAAUACCUCCUCGGAGCGGCGGCGGCAUCCCCCUGCCCUCGCGCGGCGGCAUCCCUCCCCGCAUGCUGUUCAUGGGCGGCUUCUUCCGAGCAAGAGACACUUUAAGUUUGCUCCCUUGGAAAUCUUUCCCUAGAAAAAGAGAGGAGAACACUCAUCACUCCCAAAGUCCAACUCCUCCUCCCCUUGAGGGGAUCAGGAGCAAACCACAUAUGGACAGUCCAGAAGGAAAAAAUCAAGCUACUUCAGAAACUCUCCAAGUCAGUUCUCUUCAAAAUGCCCUGUGGUUACAGGUCUGCCAGCCCACAAGGUCAUGCUCUUCCUCACCUUAACAACUCCGCACUGCUUAAAGAAGUCCACCAGGUCAUCAAGAGUCACACUGUCGUUCAGGCCUUGCACGUAAAUGGCACUGUUGUCAGAGUCUUCAUCUGGAUCUACAGGUGGGCCUUCCCGAGGAAAGGAGGGGCAGUUACUGUCAUGUAUCCAUCGGGGCUGAUUAACCAAUGGUCACUACUACCGGCUAGCAUUCAUCACAAAGCCAAGAGAACUACCAACCUUACUAACAAGAAUGAGAUGGAACUUUUGGCAUAUUUUUGUUUACUCAAGAUAAAGGAAGCCCCAAACUGCUCUCGACAGCGAGAGUAUUCCACUCAUCUACCUGGCUGCUGAACUCCAACACACACUCACUUCUGGGCUAUGCAAUUACAAAGCACAACAUAAAUUCCAGGGAUUCAAAAUUACCUAAAU